rnacentral:rRNA from 1 species
GUGGCGAACGGGUGAGUAAUACAUAGGUAACCUGCCCCUGUGCGGGGGAUACCAGGAGGAAACUCCUGCUAAUACCGCAUAGCCAUGAGCACCGCAUGGAGCUCAUGCCAAAUAUCCUUCAGGGGAUAGCGCAGGGAUGGACCUAUGGCGCAUUAGCUAGUUGGCGGGGCAACGGCCCACCAAGGCAACGAUGCGUAGCCGGCCUGAGAGGGCGGACGGCCACAUUGGGACUGAGACACGGCCCAGACUCCUACGGGAGGCAGCAGUAGGGAAUUUUCGGCAAUGGGGGAAACCCUGACCGAGCAACGCCGCGUGAGCGAAGAAGGCCUUCGGGUCGUAAAGCUCUGUUGUAAAGGAAGAACGUCGCAUGCAGGAAAUGGUGUGCGAGUGACGGUACUUUACCAGAAAGCCACGGCUAACUACGUGCCAGCAGCCGCGGUAAUACGUAGGUGGCGAGCGUUAUCCGGAAUCAUUGGGCGUAAAGAGGGAGCAGGCGGCCGCAAGGGUCUGUGGUGAAAGACCGAAGCUAAACUUCGGUAAGCCAUGGAAACCGGGCGGCUAGAGUGCGGAAGAGGAUCGUGGAAUUCCAUGUGUAGCGGUGAAAUGCGUAGAUAUAUGGAGGAACACCAGUGGCGAAGGCG